rnacentral:rRNA from 1 species
CCUACGGGUGGCACCAGUGGGGAAUAUUGGACAAUGGGCGAAAGCCUGAUCCAGCCAUGCCGCGUGUGUGAAGAAGGCCUUUUGGUUGUAAAGCACUUUAAGCGAGGAGGAGGCUACCGAGAUUAAUACUCUUGGAUAGUGGACGUUACUCGCAGAAUAAGCACCGGCUAACUCUGUGCCAGCAGCCGCGGUAAUACAGAGGGUGCGAGCGUUAAUCGGAUUUACUGGGCGUAAAGCGUGCGUAGGCGGCUUUUUAAGUCGGAUGUGAAAUCCCUGAGCUUAACUUAGGAAUUGCAUUCGAUACUGGGAAGCUAGAGUAUGGGAGAGGAUGGUAGAAUUCCAGGUGUAGCGGUGAAAUGCGUAGAGAUCUGGAGGAAUACCGAUGGCGAAGGCAGCCAUCUGGCCUAAUACUGACGCUGAGGUACGAAAGCAUGGGGAGCAAACAGGAUUAGAUACCCUAGUAGUC